GACGUGCGGUGGACCCUGCGGCAGGGACCGGCCAGGCUGCCAGCCCCUCAGCCCCUCAGCCCCUCAGCCCCUCAGCCCCUCAGCCCCUCAGCCCCUCAGCCCCUCAGCCCUUCAGCCCCUCAGCCCCUCAGCCCCUCAGCCGCCCACGCCGCUGCUCGCUCACCCGCCCGGCUGCCUUAGGGGUCGGCGCUGCCCAGCGGGCUCCAGCGCAGCCUCCUACCCGGCAUCCCACCGGCCGCAACCGCCACUGACUCCUGGCCGCCCGCUACUAGUCGCGCGCGGUGGGCAGGGCCAGUCCGGGGGAGCGGACCCCGAGAGGCGCCGCGGGAUGGCAGGCGGUGUCUUCCAAACCCAAGCCUCCGAAAGCCGCAGCCGGGCUCGGGCCGCUGACCGACCCGGAGGCCCCGCUCUGUCCCAGCCAAGGCCUCCCGGAGCCAUCACCCACCAGGAGUCCCGGGCGGGGGCACCACCUGCUCCACGCUGUCGCGGGCUUCUGCGAGGCCAUGAUCCGUGCCCAACGCCAGCAAAGGGCAGCUUGUGCCCAAGAGUGGGGGAAAUGCAUCCUUUCCGGGGAUCUGAAAGCUCCAGGUCCUCCUGCCAGGAGCCCACGGCCUCAGAUGGGGCCCAGGAAGCGCCCGCGCUGGGGAAGCGCCCCCUGCACCUGAGCCCGAAAUUGUCCCCAACAAACCCCACACCCGCAGGGCUGACGUUUGGACUCCGGGGUGCGGUGUCGAUGAAAUGGGCACCGCGUGCUUUCCAUGCAAAAGACACGAAGUCUGGAGUUUAUGGAAUUAUUGAAGGAAAGCCGCGCCAGUGCCAAGAGAUCAUGGCCCAGAGCUGGCAGAACUGAUCAGACAAAUGCUGAGCAAAAGGCCUGAAGAAGACCAUCUGGAGGAGCAUCCGGAGGGCCUUCCCCAAAGCACCAGAUCGCCUUCCUUUCCGAGGCCACAAAGGCGAGAACUUCCAGAAAUAGCAUGAAACGUGAUGACUUGGUGACAUCCAAGCCUGCUGCCACCGUGGUUUCCGGCAAGGCAGAAUCAAGGCAUGAAGUAAUCUACCCCAACCACACUCCUCUGAGGGCUGAGCAAGACAUCGAUAGUGGGUGAAGGCAAGUGUUUGUCCCAGGAGAGGCCCAGGAUGGUUGCUCCCUUGAAGUCACCCGCCAGUCUGAAGGCCCAGGGGACUUGAGCAAUACCAAGAACUGGCCACGCUUCACAGGUCCACAAGUUGAAAGUGUACCCCCAGGAGCUGCACUAAAUGAUUUGUACCCAUCUGCACCUGAUUUAGAACGUUUAGAAGGUAAGAUUUUGAACUUCAAGUUUAUGAUGUUUAGGGGCCAUUUUGGACUUUGAGGUGAUUAGAUGAUAUGAUUUAGAUAACAAUACUUUGGAUUUGAGCUGAUGAUGAGAUGAAAUCUUUGAGAGGGAGUAAAUAUAUUUUGCCUUUAGGGAAAAUAUGAGCAUUUGAAAUUUAGAGGGAACUGUAUGGUAGGUGAUAUGAAGAUUUCUUCUAAGAUUUUCUUCCAUGGUAAACAAUUACCAUGCUGUGGGGAAGGCUGCGUGCCAUAGAAUGGUGGGCAGCCUCUAGGAGUUGAGAACAACUCUCCAUUGACAGGCAAAAAGAAACCAGAAUCUUCAGUCCUGUAACUACAGGAACUGAAUUCUGACAAAAACCAUUGAGCUUGGAAAAUGGCCUGAAAUAAAAUAACAGCCCUGCAUCCAACUUGGAAAGGAAAACCUCAACUUCUCUUUGUUUGCAGAUGAUACAAUCUUCUAUUUGGAGAAACCUAAAGACUCCACCAGAAAACUAUUAGAAUAGUUAAACAAAUUUAGUUAAGUUGCAGGAUACAAAAUUAACAUACGAAAAUCAGUAGUAUUUCUCUACGCCAACAGUGAACAAUCUAAAAAAAGAAAUUAAGAUAGAAAUCCCAUUAAUAAUAGAUAUAAAUAAAACAAAACACUUAGGAAUAAACUUAACCAAAGAAGUGAAAAAUCUCUACAAAGAAAACCAUAAAGCACUGAUGCAGGAAAUUGAAGAGAACACACACAAUUGACAUAUAUUCCAUGUUCAUAGAUCGGAAGAAUCAAUAUUGUUAAAAUGUCUAUACUACCCAAAGCAAUCUACAGAUUCAAUGCAAUCCCUGUCAAAAUACCAAUGAUAUUCUUCACAGAAGUAGAAAAAAUAAUCCAAACAAACCACAAAAGACCCAAAAUAGCCAAAGCUACCGUAAGCAAAAGGAACAAAAUUGGAGGCAUCACAUUACCUGACUUCAAGUUAUACUACAGAACUAUAGCAAUCAAAACAGCAAUGGACUGGCAUAAAAACAGACACACAGACCAGUGGAAAAUAAUAAAGAAACCAGGAAUAAAUCCCCACACCCCUGGGCCCUUUCCUGUCUCCCCUUGUGUUCAGGGGUGGCUGCUGCUCUGAGAACAUUAGAACUGGGAAGAGAGAUGGAGCCACGUGCGUUCUUGGUGGGCAUUAUCCUACACUUUUGGAUCCAAGUUAAUCCCCCUUAUUCACUGUGGCAUUGCCUUUCUAAGCAUUGCCCUGUGACUGCUGCUAAAGAACUUCUCACCGGAGGCAGGCAGUGGCCCUGGGCACUGCCCCUUGCAUUAGGUUUUGUGUUUGAUGUGCUCUUGUGAAUUUACUUUGUUAAAACAAAAUAUUUCCAUGAUGGGCUUGGGAAUCUCUUCCUUUAGCUCCCAAUCUGCUAUGAAAUUCAGGAAAACAUUUUUCCUGUUUCCUAGUAACCUCCUGUGUAGGUGUUGAUUGUUUCAAAGUGUGUCUGACCACUGAGGGACCCCCUGGGUGCCCCAGACUCAUUCACACCAGUGUAUGAAAAAUCGCCUGCAUUUCUGAGAUGCCAGCUGCCCAUUCAGUGCUUCACAGGAAGACACAUGGGCUUUCCCUCUUCAGGUGCCUGAAGGGAGUGCUUUGAGCUGAGUGGUUUGCUGGCCUCCCUCCAGCCCCAGGGCCCUCCAUGGGCCUGGGCUCCCUGGAGGGUCACUACAAACUCCCUGGAGGUUUCCUCUGGCACUAGGACCACUGCACCAUAUAGACCUGAGUGCUAUUGUAUUCUGGCUUGGUGUGUAUGCUUUUCAUUGUGCAAAACUGCUGCUCUUUUGACAAUUCAAGUGACUGUUUUGUUUACUAUAACCUUGAGAACAAAAAUUGUAACAAAAACAUUCUCAUGACUAUGCUGUGGUUGGAGAUUUUAUUACCAACAUAUUUACACCUUCCUUUUCCCUCUCAUUUUCAGGAGCUGUUUCAGGCCUCCUCCUCCUCCCGUAAUAACUUGCAGUCUUUCCUAUGUUAUAAUAAAGCUACAUUUUCUUCUGAAAACUGGCAGGUUCUCCCUUCCUAACGCAGGCAGCCGAAGAGAGGGUGUCAGGAGCCAGAGGGUAUCAAGAGCAGCCAGGGCACACCGGCCUGCAUGGGGGCAUCCCUGGUCCAAGUCAGUGGCCAGAGCUGCAGCCUGGCUUUGUGCCCAAAGUUUUGUCUGGGUAUCAGGAAGGCCAUGCACUCACAUUUCAUCUCUUUUUGUGACUGGUCUGCUGCUGGUUGACCCUCGUUCCUCCUUUUUUGGGCAGGAAGGUGACAUCCAGGAUUCAGGAGAGCCUUCUGACUUGGGUGUGCAUGAAAGUCACCUGAGGCCCUUGACGUGCAGGAAUCCUUGCCAGCCUUGGAUUGCAAGCCCCAGGCUAUGGUAUAGCAAUGUGCAUUUUGUAGCAAGCUCCCUGCGUGAUUGGAGUCACAAAUGGAAAGAAAUACUAUAAUCGGUGGAGAGAAGAUGUGCACAGCUAUACAAGUGUGUGGUUCUGUGACAUACCACGAGGUAGGAGUGGACCUUUAUGACAUCUUCUCCCAGCAACCCCACAUAUUUCCCUUGCCCUCAGUGGGUCAGGAGUCUCCUGCUUGGCCUCAUCUUCGAAUCUGAAGCCUCUGAGUUCUGAAUAGUUCGGCCCCCUACUUUUUUAGAUGCCUCUGUGGCAAACCUUUGUUAUCUGACUUUUCUUUUAUUUGACAGAGCCUCGCUCUGUCGCCCAGGUUGGAGUGCAGUGGUGUGAUCUCGGCUGACUGCAAGUCCCGCCUCCUGGGUUCACACCAUUCUCCUGCCUCAGCCUCCUGAGUAGCUGGGGACUACAGGCGCCUGCUACCACGCCCAGCUAAUUUUUUGUACUUUUAGUAGAGACGGGGUUUCACCGUGUUAGCCAGGAUUGUCUGGAUCUCCUGACCUCGUAAUCCACCCACCUGGCCUCCCAAAGUGCUCGGAUUACAGGUGUGAGCCACGGCGCCCUGAGGACUGGCAGACCCACCUGACUUUCUUGGAGUAGAGGAGGAAGAGGAGGAAGAAGAGGUGCAGGAGGAAGACCAGGUAGGAGGGCUGGUGGGGCCAGGACACCCCCAACCAUUGACUGCCCCAGAGGGUGACUCCAGAGGGGACCUGGUGCUAGAGCCCACCUGGGGGUGGCAGGUCCCAGUGUUUUUUUGUGAGUUCCUUCAUAGAGGUUUGAAGGUUCCUGAGGACCGCGUUGUCCUCCAGGGUCCAGCUCUGAGAGAGUCGCUCCUGAAACUCCCAGACAGUGCUCCAGGAAAGCUUCAUGAGGUGCUCUAGGGAGAGGGCGGGCAUCAGGCCAGGAGGGUUCCCUGGGAGGGGACAGUGCCUGCACCCCAUUUCUACCAGGCCCACCUCCCACUGGGUGGUGUCUGGUCCUUUUUGGCCACCCUGGUGUUCAGCUGUGCACAGGAGGCUACAGUUGGGGAAGGCAGGGCAGGGAAGUGCUCACCACACUCCUGAUUUUCAUCUGGGUCAUGUGGGGGAUGGACUCAGUGUCAUCAUGACUUGCCCAGCCCAGCAGGCCAGACCUCCCAACCCGGAUGGAGCAGGCAGUGUAAGGACACUUCCCUCAGGCCAGCCGGGGUCUGUCCCACAUGUUCCCCCAAGCACCCUCGGGCACACGGGACUUACUCCUGUGUAUUUUGAAUGAUGCAUGCACCAUGGCUGUCAGUACCCGCGCGCCCUCCAAGAUGAACACAUCCCACAGUCUCAGGGUGAGCCCGAAGGAUUUCUGUGGGGACAGCAAGUGUGGGAGAACCUGGCCUUUCCAAGCUGGGGCCAGUGGCCUGAGCAGAGCCCACUGGGGUUUCAGGCCCCUGGAGUGCUGGGGACCCCUCUCCGUGGGAUGAGACCCCCAAAAGACUGAGUCAGACAAGGUCCUGUAGCUCCUUGUGAGGGACUCAUCUCAACUGCGCUGUGGCUUCUGGAAAGAGGGCUUCCUGAGGACUUGGGCUUCCCUGGGCCCUCGCAAGUCGGGUCCUGCCCCAGUCUGCCCAUGAGGCUGGGCCUGAGCCCUGGCCUCUGCCAUGGGAUGCCCCCUCUUGGGCAGAUCCUGGCUUGUGAGCCCUGCAGGGACCUGCCUGUCCUCCUGGGGGAGCUGGACCCCUGGGCUGGGGGUGCCGGGCACUGCAGGGCAGGAGAGUCCCAGGGCUGGGGUCUCCCUGUGCCUCCUUACCCCAUCAAGGAAACACCGGAGGAGCCUCGUCAGCAUGGAACCCUCAAUGCACAGCCCUUCCUUGCCCUGAAGGGAGGAGCAGACGUGCUCAGGGCCCCCUGGGCUGCCCUGAAAUCCUCCCACUUCCAGGCCCCUCUGCAGACCUUCCUUAAUGGCACAACCCAGGGCGGUGGCCAGGGCUCCAACACCUGCCCCAUGCAUGGACGCCCGGUGGACACACUUCUUUUAGCCCUGCUCAGCUGCAGCUCGGCCCUGGUCCCAGCGCCUCUGCCUUUGCCAGGGCAGGAAAAGGAAACCCAACACUGAAUCUAUGGGGAAUCCCCAUCCCAGGUCAGGCCGUGGCUGGGACUCAGCCUCUUGCCAGCCCCAUGAGGGACUUGAGCCUCCCCUGGCCUAUGGGGCCCAGGGCGUCUGGUUAGGAGCUGAGGGUGUCAUCCACUCACCAGGUGUCUCAUGAUCUUUGGGAAGGACUUGUGCAGCACCUGCUCCUGGUGCGAUAGGAGCCUCUCGAGCCGGGCAGUAUUUGGGCUGUAGAAUACUGAGAAGCCCCUGACCCAUCACCCCACCAGACCCCACGCCCAAAAUGUGGAGGCAUCAGCUGGAAGAGCUGGGCAGGGCAGGGGACCCCAGACCCCGAGGCCUCCCUCCCUCCCAUGUGGUGACCCCAGCAUGUAGCCUCAGCCCUGGGGAGGAGGUCCCUGGCUGGAGGCACUGCCUAGCGGCCUCCUGGGUCCAGGUGCCAGGAGGGCAGCCUGCAUUUGACACCACAAGGCAGGCGCCAGCGGGGAGAACAGGGUGGGAGCUGGGGGCUAUGUGGCUAUCUCUUGGAUGUGGAGGUCAGGCUGGGGGACAUGGGAUGGGCAGACACUUCCAUCUUGGCUUUGUUGGCCCAUCUGUAGGGAGGGAGGGUGGCUGGGAGCACAGCCAGCUGGGAGGCAGGAAGACACUCAGGGAGGUGAGUGGUGCCUGCACAAAGUUGGGGCUGGCUUCGGGCGACAGAGGGCAGCCAGGGGGGAGGUAUCCAUGCCCUCUGAUGUUAGGGAUGAAAGGCGUCUGACUUGAGGUGAGGGGGUUCCUGUCCAGACCCAGGCUGCUGUAGGACCUCAGCAGGGACAUCCUGGAGGCUCCAAACAAGCUGGGAUACAAUGCAGGCACCUUGCCUGGAAGUCAGGGUCACUGGCCAGGGUGGCUGUCCCCUGGCAUGGCUGUGUAAGGCCCCGGGGGCAGCUGUCCACCUACCUGCAGGGAGUGCCUCUCACCAGCGAGCAACUGGGUAAGCGCCCAGAAAGCAUCUUCCUCUGGCAGACACAGGAGGAGGAUGGCAGUGAUGCGGCUCAGGUCCCUGUGGUAGCCCACCUCCUGCAAGAGCCAGAGUCACCGUGGAAGGAUGUCACCUAGGAGGACUGAGGCCACCUGGGAGGACUUAUGUCACCAGAGGUGGCAUAGGUCUUUGGGGACACCUGCCUCAGGCCCCAGGGGAUUUGAGGUGCAGCCUCUGCACCCCUCCCCUGGCACUGGACAUGAGGACUGAGCAGGUCACGCACAACUCAGUUGACAAGGAGCAUGGGGGGACUCCUGCAGCAAGUGUCCAAGCUCACAUGGCCCAAAAGGGCACAGUCAGGGAUUGUUCAUGCUCCCUCCCCUGGGCCAGGCUGGGGAGGCCACUGUGCCAGGCCUGGGGCAGCACCUGUGAACUGCACCUGCCACGAGGGCAGGCGGCGGGGCGCUGACCACCACACAAAAGGUCCUGCAACAGCCCAAGGGCUGCCUGCCGGACAUAAGGGGUGGCUGGGUCCUCCAUGUGGGCAGCUCAUGCAGUCAGCUCAGCAGCUCUCCCUGCCUGGAAUGGUCUGGAAAGUGGGGGCCAAGCAGGAACAGCCACCUGGGUGACCCCCCUCCCUAUCUGCUAUGCUCCUAUGGGGUUCAGGCAAAGGGGAAAUUGGAUCCUUGCCAGGUUUCCAGUGAAGAAGAGGCUCCCCCAGGAUGCAAACUCAUUUCAUGACAAGUGCCUGGCCCAUCAGGCACCUCAGCAACUUGUCAAACCUGUCUCCUACAAGGACCAUCCUGUGUGGGACCCUGCCAAGCUCCUAGGCUUUGGGGCAACACCAGGAGGGGAAGGUCAUUUCUUCAUCUGAGACGUGGUGAUUGGGUCCAUGUGACACCAGGAGUCUGGGCUUCAACCCUUUUCUGCCAGCAGCGAGCUGAAGUCCUGCCUACUACGUCCUGGUGGACAAACACUGAAUUUUCAAGAAGUUGCAACACCCCCGAGAGACACCCAUGCCUGUGAAUAUGGGCACAUGUCCCAGGAAUAUUGCUGCCCGGGAAUACUCGCAGGGUUAUAUGCAGAAUAGGCCACGAGGAUGUCACAUAAUUCCUGCUGCCUAGAAAAGAGGGGAAAGAGGGUUUUGUUUUUUUGUGUGCAGACGCUGUCAAUUUCAUUUUGUCUACAAACCCAAAUAACGAACACAAUUCUGGGUUCAGAUGAUCCCCCCAAAUAAGCAGUGAGCUCUUUAGGACACCUGAGUUUUUAGGAAUUUUUUUCAGUAAAAUCCACAUUCCUUGCAAUGCAAUGUCGUAGGUGUACAGUUGGAUCAGUGAUCAUUUUUCACUCUGGUUGAUUUUUUCUUCCCCUUUUUCUCAGUUUGCACACACAGAAGUCCAGUCUUUGGGACGUGCAGUUCCACGGUUCUGAACUAAUGUGCAGAGCCUCCCGUCCACCACUGCAGCCCCUCCCAGAGCGGCUCCUUCAUCUUCCAAGUCCCCAGCAUGUCACCUUUGCAGCCAACGUCUCCCGGCUCUGUCAGCCCCUGGCCAUCCUGAUCUGUUCUCUGUCUCUAUGGUUUGCCCUUUCCCAGAAUGGCCAAUGAAUUGGAAUCCCAUGGUGGUAGCCUGUUGGGUCUGGCGUCAUUCCCUCAGCAAUACUCAUCUAAGAUCCACCCAUGUUCCUGCGGGCAUUGGGGGUUCGUUCCUUUUCCUCACUGAGUCGCCUCUGUCUGAAGAGUGGAACCCCCUUCCUCCUUAGUUCCCAUGUUGAAGAUCAUCUCCGUAGCCUCCGGGUGUGAGUUACAACCAAUCAAGCGGUGAACGUCACAUGUGGGUUUUACUUGGACGUCAGUUUUCAAAUCAGUGUGGCCAAUAUCUGUCACACUUUGGGGAUGUGUGGUAAGAGGCCACUGAACUUUGUGAGCCACAGCCCAUGUGACUUACAAAAUGGCUGUGCCCUGUCACGUUCCCACCAGCCAUGGAUGAGAGUUUCCGGGGCCCCGCAUCCUUUCUAGUAUUUUGGGCAGUCAGUGUUGCCUGGGAAGGCUCCCAAGCCCUGCCAUCGUGCCACCUUCCCAUGGGUCCCUAUCCUGGAUUGUUGUGGGUCAUGGAGAGCACUUUUCACCAUCUGCAUGACUCUUUUUUUUUUCUGCCUUCCAUCUCCUUGGGAGUCACCUGGGUUCUGGCCCUACAUGUCCCAGCCCGGCCCAGGGCUUAGAGCCGGGAGGUGCUCAGUCCAUGGUGCCGGCUGCUCCCUGGGCCAGGAGAGCCCUUGGUGGCUCUGGCACCUCUCCUGGGUGACCCUGGCCUCUGCCCUGGGGACAACCUCAUUCCUCUGGAUUGCCCCAUCUUCCCUGGGACCCCUGCAAGCCCCAUUGGCCUUACUUGACUCCGAAUCUUUGUAUGAACAUCAUGUGUUUCUGCAGGGUGUGGCUGACAUCUAGCUGGAUGCAGUGGAUGAUUCUGGAGGACCUCUUGCCCUUCUCCUUCAUGACCUGUAGGGCGGGGCCAAGAGGAGGAAGCAGCCUCAGAACAGACAAAAGACUCCCUGCCCCAAACGGCAGUCAUCCCACAGUCAGCACUUCUGGAAGGAAGGAAGGAAGGUUUCCUUCUGCAGAAAGCUCCUUUUUACUUUGUUUCUGACGCCAGGGAGGGUCAGCAGAGCCCAGCGCACCUGUGGUGCCUGAGUUACCAUCUAUGCCCAGGAUGUGCGUCUGACCACAGCCCCCACCCCCAACCCAGGCUCAACGUUCCCUCCAGCUGGAGUCCUGGGCUCCUGAUACAGUCUAGCUUGUUUGUACUGCCCUAGCUGAGUGUGGGAGGGACUUACCUUAUAUUUGCAUGGGUUCUGGGACUUGAUUCUGUCAAUAUCUAGCAAAAGUGACCAUGCCCGGCCCCGUACCGCCAGGGGAAUGACUUUGUAUACUCUUUGAGACAGCUACAGACAGAAGAACACUCCAGUGAGAAAGGACAUGGGGCGACCCCGCAGAGGAAAGCUGGCGAACAGGCCUGCAGUCCUAUGGCAAGGAUGGGGUACCACCCACCCACUGAGAGGCAGACGGUGCCAGGUCACAACCAUGGGCGCCUGUCUCCUGGCUCUGCAGAGAGCAGUCACGCGGGCCACUUCCUCCCCAUGUUACCUUCUUGGUGCUCCUAUAUUUUGUCCAGUCUGCAAGCAUCUUUUGCCACUUGUUGGUACGUUUACUUUCCUUGCAUCUUUGCUGUCAAAUGAGCCAAGAUGGAGUUAGCGGAGCUGCCAGGCGUCUGACAGUGGCCCGUGGAUGCUGGGUCCAGGGCUUUGGGGCCCUGAAGGGACCCAACCUGAAGAAGCCAGGAAAGGGCAGGCCCCAGGGGCUGAGACCCUCUGAAGGAACUGGAGCUGGUAGUCUGGACUGGUGAUGCCACGACAUGCCAUCCUCAGGCCAUAAAUGCCCCAAGUUUUGGUCAGGUCCAGCCUUCAGCUGGGGUCUUGGUUCAAACAGGCAGUGGACUCUGAGCCAGGACUGCAGUUCUUGGUUUGGGUUUUGGUCAAGCCCUCAUGGGAACAGAGUCCAGCAGGAAAGGCCACCCCUCCCAGUGACAGCCGUGGCCCACUCACCACCACACAGGCCCACAGGCCACCCCCUCUGCCUUACCGACCACCCGAUUCCCAGUCCCUGAAGCAGCCUCCCACGCAGCAGGCACAGGCUCUUACCUUCACCUCCAGGGCACUGACGCGGGGCAGCUCCAUCUCACUGUAAGGCAACCCAGGCAGAGCUGAGGACCUGCCCAGGCCAGGAGCCAUCCCUCUCCCUGAGAGGGCCCCAGGGAAGGACCAGCCUAUCCCCAUCCACCCUAAGCCUCAGCCUGGGACAAGGCACAGAGAAGGAAGGCAAGGGCCUCCCUGCGGAUCUGACACUAGCAAGGCACUGGGACCUUGGAGAAGAGGGAGCUCAAGGCUGGCCCUGGGUGGGGGGGACACUUGAAGCCCGUGGGGUGCCUUGGGCUGCACAACGGUGCUGCUCCUCCUGGGCUGGAGGUGACACCCUCUGUGGACGCUAAGAAAGUCCAGUUCUGAGAUGGGAUGGGUGCCACCCAGGGUGGGUGGCCAAGCCCUGACUAACAGCAGUACCUCAGGAGUGACCACAUCACCCACCAGAGUCCAGGGAGCCUGGCCUGAGAACUGCCCAGUGCCCUGAGGAUGCACCUGGAGCCCAUCCCAUCUGACACUCCCCAUGGGCCUUGCAAGGUCUGACCUCCCAGCGUGCACCUGCCUCUCCCUGCAUCCUGGCCGCUCACCCUGCCUGCUCCCCAUCUUCCCCCAUCCUGCCCAGCCCAGACACUAUGACCCUCUCUCCGGCCACCCUGGCCCUUCUGUGACCCUUGUCCUUUCAGAACUUCUGAGUGAGACCUCCCAGAUCCGUCCACACCCAUGCCUUGGCCACUCUCUGACUGGGCUGCCCAGCACUGCUGGGGAGACAUCCAGGGCAACAAGGAUGACCAAGGGCCCUGCAGGCAGUGGGGCUGGCCCCAGCACUCCUGCUCCAGCCUCAGCUGGCUCUCAGAGUCAUUGGACUUCAGCCCUCAGCCUCCUCCCAGCCACUGCAAAAACCAGGACAUGGGAUGCUUGGCUGUCCUCCCCUACUGUCCUGCCUGCCCUGACUUGGCCCCUCCAUCCACCCUGCGCAGUGCUGACUGAGCCAGCGGGAAGCAGAAUCUCUGGAGGGCCAUGCAGAGCCUUGGGGACUGACCAAGUUCCCCCACUGAGGGGUCCCAGGCUGGACCGACAGGAGAGCCUGGGAGGAGUUCUGAUCCUGGAGAGGAGGUUGGCCCAGCCAGGGAGACAUGUCCUGCUUCAGAGAGGCCUUUCUAAAAACAAAACCCAUCCCUGAGGUGAGAUUGGUGGCUGGGGUCGGGGGGACAGAGGACUUACUGCACAAUCCCGAGGUUAUUGGUGUAUUUUCCAACAUCAACCUGCUCAUGCCCCAAGUCCACUGCUGCCCCAGCUCGGUGUCCCUGAAACCCAGAGGAGGCCAGGAUAGUGGGGGUAAGGUGAGAGGUGUGGGAGGCCCAGGGAUGUGGGCAGCCCCUCCCCACCCUGUGAUCUUAGGAAGCCCAGGACCCUGUGACCAGGGCACAGCGGGAGAGGCGAGGCCCUGCCUCCCUCGAGGGAGCGGCCCAACUUGUACCUGCUCAUACUUAGUAAUGAUGAUAUUGCCUUGCCCCUGGGCAGGCAGGUUAUCCGGGUCCUCAUCCAUCUCCAUCCUGCAAGACAAAGUCAUCCCAAGGCUCUCCCGCACCCAAGAGCUCCAGAGAACAGCCAAACCACACGCACUGCACUCCCAGACACACUCCAGUCUGGUGAGCCCCAUUCCACUACCCCUCCCAGAUGACAAGGGGCCAGACUCAGUGGCCCCACCCCUGACUAGAUCUCUGAAGUCCUUGCCUCCAACCAGUGGUGGGCUCCUUCCUGAGGAUUUGAGCACACGGGGACCUGGACAGAGAGGCCUAUUGUCCCCGAACACCCCAAGGCAGACACACACCUGCCCUGGCAGGACAAACGGCGUCCACUUGCUGAGGGUGAAGUCCCCACGAUGGGCUGUUCUGGGCACCUGGAGGCAGGUGGAGUCAGGGACUGGAUGUCUCUAUAGGAUCGUUCAGGGACCAGGAAUAUAAUCAGUUUUCUGUAGGAAGCAAGACAUCUGGUGACUGCUCCGUUCUACCCCAAUUCUCACUCACUCUGGCCAGUGAAGCCGCUUCAGGAACAACGCCAGCCAAGCAGUUUGGUUUGGGGAAAAGAUGAUCUAUUGACUCCAGAGCAGCCUCUGUGCUCAUGGAGACCCCAUCGCAGGUCGAGGACGGUGGACACCACAAUUCCCAGCUGUCAAUACAGGAGGGGACUUUGUUUUCCUGGGUCACCAAGAAAGAACAAGAGAACGCUGGGGCCUUAGUCCUAGAGAACACCUGGGGGAACCGUCCCCCCCAGGAAUACACGGGGCAAACAGAAGGCAAGGCCUCUAGAGGACCAGACAGAGAGAAUGGGACGCUGCAGGAGGGUUCCAGUCCCCAAGCCUCUUUGACCAGGAGAGACGAUUGUCACCCUCCAGGCAGCCCUCCAGGGCUCCUUCAUUUUCCACAACUGCCUGAGGGCAGAGGGCUCCCCACCCCACUCCUAGAUGAAGGACCCCAUGUGUCCAGUGGGUCCCACAGCAACCAUCAGUGAUCGCACUUUAGGUCUGAGUUGGUGAGACCUCCUCCUGUGGGGACCAAGCUUAGGGCACAGACUUGGACCAAGAAUUUCACCCUCCACCCCACCCACAGGGGCUCUGUCCCAGUGGCUCUUCCAGGACCAGACCCUGCCUCAUUGAAUUCCAGAACUCAAGGAAGAUUUGGAAUCUAGGGUAGAGAGGCCUCAGCGGUCAAAGCUCAAGUCCAGCAUGGCAAAGGGUAGGGCUGAGUGCACGGCCCGGGUCACAUCUGGGUCCUGGGCCAGUCACCGCCUCUCUGACUCUACACAUCUCACCUGUGGAAUGGCUACAUUUGGGGACAGCACCCAUCGCCACAGAGUCUCUGUGAGGACAAAAGAGAGGAUGGUCCACGCCGUCAGUGCAGAACAUGCACCCGCUACCCUUGCCCCACCAGGAAUCCCCUUCUGGCAGAGUCAAUGAGGCGAGGAAGAUGGUCACAGAAUCCAUGGAAAGAAAGAAAACAA